rnacentral:rRNA from 1 species
AAUUUUGGAUACUUGGUGCAACCAUCAUCCAGCCAUGCCGCUAUUGUGAAGAAUGUCGUCGGUUUGUAAAUAACUUUAAGUUGGGAGGAAGGGCCUUAGGUUAAUGCUUUGAAUUUUUGAAGUUACCUACAGAAUAAGCACUUGCUAACUCUGUGCCGGCAGCCGCGGUAAUAUAGAGGGGUGAAGCGUUUAUCGGAAUUACUGUGCGUAAUACGCGCGUAGGUGGUUCAGUAAGAUGGGUGUGAAAACCCCGGGCUUAACAUGGGAACUGCUUUCAUAAAUGCUGGGCUAGAGUACGGUAGAGGGUAGUGGAAUUUCCUGUGUAGCGGUGAAAUGCGUAGAUAUAGGAAGGAACACCAGUGGCGAAGGCGACUACCUGGACUGAUACUGACACUGAGGUGCGAAAGCGUGGGGAGCAAAC